UAGGGAAUAUUGGUCAAUGGAUGGAAGUCUGAACCAGCCAUGCCGCGUGCAGGAAGAAGGCCUUCUGGGUCGUAAACUGCUUUUGCCGGGGGAUAAAAAUUCCAUGCGUGGAAAAUUGAAGGUACCCGGUGAAUAAGCCACGGCUAACUACGUGCCAGCAGCCGCGGUAAUACGUAGGUGGCAAGCGUUGUCCGGAUUUAUUGGGUUUAAAGGGUGCGUAGGCGGCCUUGUAAGUCAGUGCUGAAAUAUCCCGGCUUAACCGGGAGGGUGGCAUUGAUACUGCAGGGCUUGAGUAAAGUUGAGGUUGGCGGAAUUGACGGUGUAGCGGUGAAAUGCUUAGAUAUCGUCAAGAACACCGAUAGUGAAGACAGCUAACUAAGCUUUAACUGACGCUGAGGCACGAAAGUGUGGGGAUCAAACAG
rnacentral:rRNA from 1 species